AAUCACAGCCAGCUGUUACAACAGCCAGACAUCGGUGGCAGUUCCUAGCAGGGGGGGCUCCCCACCCUACAGCAGCUCUACCUGCCUGGGGCCGGCGGGGGGGCUCGGGGAGCACCUGAGGCAACCACGGAGGAGGAGGAGAAGGUGAAGAAGAAGGAGGAGAAGAAGGAGGAGAAGGAGGCGCUCGUCUCCUGCCACUGGGGCUCUCCCAGCACCGGGGAGCCGCGGGAGGAGUUACCUGGGCGAGCUGUGGAGGCCAUUUCCCGGGGAGAAACGCGCCCGGGGCAGCUGGGUGAGGCGUAAACAGGGGCCGUACCUGGCCAGAAGCAGAGCCUGCCGCGCGGACAGACGAGGGGUGGAGACGGCAGCUGGGAUCUGCAGCAGAGAAUCUGCACCUAGAUGUGCACCUGCCUGCGUGGCUCUUCCUUCCCUGCGUGCUGCCGAUGGGAUGGCAACGGCCACGCUCUUGGAACACGAAGGUGUGUGA
rnacentral:lncRNA from 1 species